rnacentral:lncRNA from 1 species
GUAGCCUAGUGGUUAGAGUGUAGAGGUGGUAGGUAGUCUAGUGGUUAGAGUGUAGAGGUGGCAGGUAGCCUAGUGGUUAGAGUGUAGAGGUGGCAGGUAGCCUAGUGGUUAGAGUGUAGAGGUGGCAGGUAGCCUAGUGGUUAGAGUGUAGAGGUGGUAGGUAGCCUAGUGGUUAGAGUGUAGAGGUGGUAGGUAGCCUAGUGGUUAGAGUGUAGAGGAGGUAGGUAGCCUAGUGGUUAGAGUGUAGAGGAGGUAGGUAGCCUAGUGGUUAGAGUGUAGAGGUGGCAGGUAGCCUAGUGGUUAGAGUGUAGAGGUGGCAGGUAGCCUAGUGGUUAGAGUGUAGAGGUGGCAGGUAGCCUAGUGGUUAGAGUGUAGAGGCGGCAGGUAGCCUAGUGGUUAGAGUGUAGAGGCGGCAGGUAGCCUAGUGGUUAGAGUGUAGAGGUGGCAGGUAGCCUAGUGGUUAGAGUGUAGAGGUGGCAGGUAGCCUAGUGGUUAGAGUGUAGAGGUGGCAGGUAGCCUAGUGGUUCGAGUGUAGAGGUGGCAGGUAGCCUAGUGGUUAGAGUGUCGAAGCGGCAGGUAGCCUAGUGGUUAGAGUGUAGAAGCGGCAG